rnacentral:rRNA from 1 species
UAGGGAAUCUUCCACAAUGGGCGCAGCCUGAUGGAGCAACACCGCGUGAGUGAAGAAGGGUUUCGGCUCGUAAAGCUCUGUUGUUAAAGAAGAACACGUAUGAGAGUAACUGUUCAUACGUUGACGGUAUUUAACCAGAAAGUCACGGCUAACUACGUACCAG